CACCGCCAAAGAUCAAAUUUCUUAUUCUUUGGACCGCGUCUAACGGCGUUCACUGAAAUUCACUCGCAAAAUCUGACAUUUUUUCUGGUAUUUCCAUAGCUUAUCUGUGUACCGCGCUGAAAAACACACCCGACGAAAAGCGUUAGCCGCGUAUUUGCCUCUCGGUCACUCCUAUGGUUAGCUCGCAGUUUUCGCCGAUGUGAGUGAGCUUAACGAUGUCACGGCCUUUAAGCCUAGUACUCAGAUCGGCUAAGAGCGUCACUAGUCGAAAAAUCGAGUUCUUUGUAGUGUGACCGAAGAUUUCACAGUUCACUGAUUUUGUUGACAAACGGAAAACAAAUCAAUUGAAGCAAUUUAAAAAAUUAGAGUCUGUUACGAACUGCAUAUUUUUUCGGUGGCAGUGCCGCUAUCUCAGUUCGCAACAUAAAAUAUUGACAGCUCCGCUGUAUUACAUCAGUAAGCUAUCGGUCAUCACUAAGGACAAAUACGUUAACAAAGCCAAGCGCUUCCACCCAGCCAUGGAUGCCCGUAAGAUGCUGCAGGGCACCACCCGUUCUGGGUCGGCCGGAGCCCACUCCUCGCGACUACGACGGUUCCAUCUCCCCCACUGGGACAACUUACUCACACAUUGUGGGCUUUACAAAUAUUUAAUGAAUAUGCCCUUAAGACCGAAAACUUUGGCGCCGUCUUCAAUAUUUACGCGGUCAAAGCUGAGGAUUUUUUUGCUGGAAAAAGGCUACAGGCGCCGCGAAAAGUUAUGCUCUACCAGUCACGUAUUGGUAGAGCUCGCAUGUGUUGUGAGAAACUCCUUGUGUUGGUAGUUUUAUUAUUCCGUACCCACUUAGUGAGAACACAUCUUUUGGUAGUUUUUUAAGAUUCUUUAUUUAGUUAGUUUUUGUAUCCAGGAGCAGCGUUAAUGCCGCUUCCAACGUCAAGUUGUCUCUGAUUUUACAAUUUGCCUUAGGAUCUAAGUAAGCCUAA